UAACAGGAUUAGAUACCCUGGUAGUCCACGCCGUAAACGAUGAUAACUAGCUGUCCGGGCACUUGGUGCUUGGGUGGCGCAGCUAACGCAUUAAGUUAUCCGCCUGGGGAGUACGGCCGCAAGGUUAAAACUCAAAGGAAUUGACGGGGGCCUGCACAAGCGGUGGAGCAUGUGGUUUAAUUCGAGGCAACGCGCAGAACCUUACCAGCGUUUGACAUGUCCGGACGAUUUCGGGAGACCGAUCUCUUCCCUUCGGGGACUGGAACACAGGUGCUGCAUGGCUGUCGUCAGCUCGUGUCGUGAGAUGUUGGGUUAAGUCCCGCAACGAGCGCAACCCUCGUCCUUAGUUGCCAUCAUUUAGUUGGGCACUCUAAGGAAACCGCCGGUGAUAAGCCGGAGGAAGGUGGGGAUGACGUCAAGUCCUCAUGGCCCUUACGCGCUGGGCUACACACGUGCUACAAUGGCGGUGACAGUGGGCAGCAAUCUCGCAAGGGUGAGCUAAUCUCCAAAAGCCGUCUCAGUUCGGAUUGUUCUCUGCAACUCGAGAGCAUGAAGGCGGAAUCGCUAGUAAUCGCGGAUCAGCAUGCCGCGGUGAAUACGUUCCCAGGCCUUGUACACACCGCCCGUCACACCAUGGGAGUUGGAUUCACCCGAAGGCAGUGCGCUAACCGCAAGGAGGCAGCUGACCACGGUGGGUUCAGCGACUGGGGUGAAGUCGUAACAAGGUAACCA
rnacentral:rRNA from 1 species